GAACAGCUCUAAUGGGGUUGAAGAAAAGGAGACUUGGGUGGAAGAGGAUGAACUGUUUCAAGUUCAGGAAGUGGACUGUAGAAGAAAGCGAGUGGGUCAAGGCUGGAGUGCAGAAAUAUGGGGAAGGAAACUGGGCUGCCAUUUCUAAAAAUUACCCAUUUGUUAACCGAACAGCUGUGAUGAUUAAGGAUCGCUGGCGGACCAUGAAAAGACUUGGCAUGAACUGAAACAGGCUUUCAUUUCCACAGAAUUCACAGGAGCAUGGUUCCUAAUAAUAGCCCCUGAUAGUCUGCUCUUUCUUUCUUUUUCUUUUUUUUUUUUUUUUGAGACAGAGUCUCGCUCUGUCACCCAGGCUGGAGUGCAGUGGCGUGAUCUCGGCUCACUGCGACCUCCGUCUCCCGGGCUCACGCCAUUCUCCUGCCUCAGCCUCCCGAGUAGCUGGGACUACAGGCGCCCGCCAUCACGCCCGGCUAAUGUUUUGUAUUUUUAGUAGAGACGGGGUUUCACCGUGUUAGCCAGGAUGGUCUCGAUCUCCUGACCUCGUGAUCCACCCAACUCGGCCUCCCAAAGUGCUGGGAUUACAGGCAUGAGCCACCGCGCCUGGCAUCUGCUGUUUCUUUCAGAAGCUGGGCUGGGAUGAGAAUUUUGGGCAACCUCCUUCGACGUGGGGGAGGUCCCAUUUCCACUUCAUCACUGUUGGAGAUCAUGGAGCUAAGAAGCAGAGCCAAGUCCACCCAUGUCCUUGGCAGAGAUGACAGGCACACAGCUUGUGCAGUGCCAGAAUAUCAUUA
rnacentral:lncRNA from 1 species